AACGAACGCUGGCGGCAGGCUUAACACAUGCAAGUCGAACGGUUGUAGCAAUACAGCAGUGGCAGACGGGUGAGUAACACGUGGGAACCUUCCUAGAGGUACGGAACAACGCAGGGAAACUUGCGCUAAUACCGUAUACGCUCGAGAGAGGAAAGAUUUAUCGCCUUUAGACGGGCCCGCGUCGGAUUAGCUAGUUGGUGAGGUAACGGCUCACCAAGGCGACGAUCCGUAGCUGAUCAGAGAGGAUGGUCAGCCACACUGGGACUGAGACACGGCCCAGACUCCUACGGGAGGCAGCAGUGGGGAAUCUUGGACAAUGGGCGCAAGCCUGAUCCAGCCAUGCCGCGUGAGUGAGGAAGGCCUUCGGGUUGUAAAGCUCUUUUGUCAGGGACGAUAAUGACGGUACCUGAAGAAUAAGCCCCGGCAAACUUCGUGCCAGCAGCCGCGGUAA
rnacentral:rRNA from 1 species